AGAGUUUGAUCCUGGCUCAGGUUGAACGCUGGCGGCAUGCCUUACACAUGCAAGUCGAACGGCAGCAUGAUCUAGCUUGCUAGAUUGAUGGCGAGUGGCGAACGGGUGAGUAAUACAUCGGAACGUGCCCUGUAGUGGGGGAUAACUAGUCGAAAGAUUAGCUAAUACCGCAUACGACCUGAGGGUGAAAGUGGGGGACCGCAAGGCCUCAUGCUAUAGGAGCGGCCGAUGUCUGAUUAGCUAGUUGGUGGGGUAAAGGCCCACCAAGGCGACGAUCAGUAGCUGGUCUGAGAGGACGAUCAGCCACACUGGGACUGAGACACGGCCCAGACUCCUACGGGAGGCAGCAGUGGGGAAUUUUGGACAAUGGGCGAAAGCCUGAUCCAGCAAUGCCGCGUGUGUGAAGAAGGCCUUCGGGUUGUAAAGCACUUUUGUCCGGAAAGAAAUGGCUCUAGUUAAUACCUGGGGUCGAUGACGGUACCGGAAGAAUAAGGACCGGCUAACUACGUGCCAGCAGCCGCGGUAAUAC
rnacentral:rRNA from 1 species